rnacentral:rRNA from 1 species
AAGAUAAAAAUUAAUUAAAUAAAUAAUAAUAAAAAUAAUUUUAAUAUAAUAAUAUAUAAAUAAUAUUUUAAUGGGGGUUAAAGUAUAAUUUAUAGAAAAAAUUAAAAUUUUUAUAGAAAAUUAGUAUUGUAGAAGAAUUUUGAAAUAUAUAUAUUAAAUAAUAAUUUAAUAAAAAGUAAAUUUAUAUUAUUGUAUCUUGUGUAUCAGAGUUUAUUAAAAAUUAGAUUUAUGAAAAUUAAUUCUCGAAUUUAAAAGAGAUAAUUAAUUAAGAAAGUUAUUGUAUCAAAAAUAUUUUUAAUAAUUAAUUUGUAAUGAAAUGUUAAUCGUCUUUAAAUAUAUCUAGUUUUUUUAGAAAUAAAUUUAAUUUAUAAUUUAUAAAAAAAAAAAUUAAAUAUUUAAUUUUUUUUUUUAUAAAUUAAAUAUUUUAAGGGAUAAGCUUUAAAUUAAAUAAUUAUAAUAAAAAUCACUAAAAAUUAAGUUUUUUAAAAUUUAAAUUGUUUAAAAAUUAUAUUUUUUUAUAAAAAAAUUUAUAAAAAUAAAAAAAUUUUAUUGAUAUGUUUAAUUUUUUAUAAAAAAAUAUUUUUAAAUUAUAAAAAAUUAGUUAUAAUGAUAAAAUUAGUAUAAAAUAAUAAUUUAAUAUUAAUUAAAAUUUUUAAAAAUUAAAAUAAAGGAAUUCGGCAAAUAUAAAUAUUCACUUGUUUAACAAAAACAUGUCUUUUUGAAUAAAUAAUUUAAAGUCAAAUCUGCCCACUGAUAAUUAUUAAAGGGCUGCAGUAUAUUGACUGUACAAAGGUAACAUAAUCAUUAGUCUUUUAAUUGAAGACUUGUAUGAAAGAUUUGAUGAAAUAUAAACUGUCUCUAAUUUAUAAUUAGAAUUUAAUUUUUUAGUAAAAAAGCUAAAAUAAUUUUAAAAGACGAGAAGACCCUAUAGAGUUUUAUAUUUAUAUAAAUUCUAAUUUUUUAUAAAUUAUUAAUAAAAAUUUAAUUAAAUAUUUUAUUGGGGUGAUGAAAAAAUUAGUAAAACUUUUUUUUUAAGAUUGACAUAGAUAAGUGAUUAAUUGAUCCAUAAAUUAAUUAUGAUUAUAAGAUUAAAUUACCUUAGGGAUAACAGCGUAAUUUUUUUUUUUAGUUCAAAUAAAAAAAAAAGUUUGCGACCUCGAUGUUGGAUUAAGAUAAAAUUUAAAUGUAGAAGUUUAAAAUUUUGAUCUGUUCGAUCAUUAAAAUCUUACAUGAUCUGAGUUCAAACCGGUGUAAGCCAGGUUGGUUUCUAUCUUUAGAAAUUUAUAAUAUUUUA